AAAACAACAGGAUCGCAUCCAGGUUACAAUAUUGAAAUUAGAAUCCACCACUAAUAUUACACAACUUCUCUUACCAAAUCAGAUCAUCUUCGAUAAGAAGAAUCACUGUCAACCUACUCCAGCCAUGACUUACAUCUGAAUCUUCAUAGCAUAACUCUAGCUAGCACCAACCUUAUCAACUUCCCUGAACACUCCUCGAUCACUGGAUCCUCAACUCUGUCUCCUCGCCUAGCAUUAGCCUUAUUCACAAUCUCAAUCAAUCAUCUCAUCUUUAAGCCUUUCUGAAAUGGUUAGAAAGGAAUAGCAAGGGUGAGCAACAAUGCUCAGCAAGUAAUAAUAAACAAUGAUAAUUCUGAAAUGAUAUAACAGAAGUUCACGAGUUCAAGAUAUAAAAGGAUUCAACCUGAGUUCAUGAAUUCAUGGUAUUGUAUAGAAUGAUUUACAAUACCUUGCAGCAUUUAAACUGAGAAAUUCAAUCUUUGCAAAGAAUUAUUGAAUUGGACUAUCACAUUUUAAUUAAAACCAAGGUUAGGCAGCUGAUCAGUUCCGCACUAACCCCGAGCAGGCCCCGCCAUGCUCUAUCACUGGAUCCAAGGCACUCAUUGGCCUAACAUGACCACGAAUCUGGUCCACAGGUUUAUAUAAAAACAAUAAUCCAAUUCUCUAAUUCAAUUCAAGAAGCCAAUGUAAAUUAACAGAACAUCAUCAUAAAUAUCAUCAACAACAGAAUAAUUCCAAUUCAAACUUUGAUAAUAAUCUAUUCAUAAAUCAUGAUCCAUCAUUUCAUAAAUCACAGUUCAGGAAAUCCUCAACUAUUCAGUAUCCUCCAUUAUCGGCUAAGCAACUGAAUUUAGCCUGCUAAACCAGCAUGACAAUGGCGGGUUGAAUAAUCAAGAAGAUCCCAAUUCAUUCAAAGCUCUAACUAUCACUGAGCAACACAUGCUUCAAUGACAAUCUGAACUUCGAAUUAAUUUGUAAAACGGAAAUUCUUUAGAAACUUGAAGAUUAGAAAGAAUGGGUCAGAAUACUCGCACUUUCGAACAUUGAAAAGAAAGGUAUGAAUACUUGAAACAUAUACCAAAGGAAUGGAUCAGAAUAUUUGCAAUAUAUCCAAGAGAAGGGUUUAGGAUACUUGCAACACAUCAAAAGAAUGAAUCAGAAUAUUUGCAAUAUAUCCAAAAGCAGGGUGCAGGAUACUUGCCUUAAAUCUGACUCCCGUCUCACAGCUCAUUCUCAUCUUUCAACUUUCACAAUCUAUGCAUCUCGUAAUCUCUAGACCAUCUCUAGCUAUACUCUAUUCGCCACAUCGCUUCGCUUACUCGAUUCAUCCCUUAUUCGCUUUGCAAUACCAUUCCGACUUUCUGACGUCUUCGAGCGUACACGUCUCGUCCAAAUCCU
rnacentral:lncRNA from 1 species